rnacentral:rRNA from 1 species
AUACGGAGGAUCCGAGCGUCAUCCGGAUUUAUUGGGUUUAAAGGGUGCGCAGGCGGCCAUUUAAGUCAGCGGUUAAAUCGUGGGGCUCAACCCCAUUCUGCCGUUGAUACUGGGUGGCUUGAUUGCGGUCGAGGUUGGCGGAAUUCGUUGUGUAGCGGUGAAAUGCAUAGAUAUGACGAAGAACACCGAGUGCGUAGGCAGCUGACCAGACCGCAAAUGACGCUCAUGCACGAAAGUGCGGGGAUCGAACAGGAGUAGAUACCCUGGUAGUCCGCACAGUAAACGAUGAAUACUUGUUUUCGGCGAUAUAAUGUCGGAGGCAAAGCGAAAGCGAUAAGUAUUCCACCUGGGGAGUACGCCGGCAACGGUGAAACUCAAAUGAAUUGACGGGG